rnacentral:RNase_P_RNA from 1 species
GAAGAAGGCCGGAUGGUCGCCGGUUUGCCGUCAAGGCAGACGGGAGGAAAGUCCGGGCUCCACAGGGCAGGAUGGUCCUUAACGGGGACCGGGGGUGACCCCAGGGAAAGUGCCACAGAGAGAAGACCGCCCGCUCUGCGGGUAAGGGUGAAAGGGUGAGGUAAGAGCUCACCAGACCCGGCGGUGACGUCGGGUGCUCGGUAAACCCCAUCCGGAGCAAGACCAAAUAGAGGAGCGCUUGAGGACGGCCCGUCCGAAGCUCCCGGGUUGGUUGCUUGAGGCCGUCGGCAACGGCGGUCCUAGAGGAAUGGCCAUCACCUGCUUUCGGGUAACCAAAGGUGGGGGACAGAACCCGGCUUAUGGCCUUCUUCAGCC